rnacentral:lncRNA from 13 species
GUUUGUUCAGUUUCCAUGUAAUUGUGCAGUUUUGAGUUUCUUAAUCCUGAGUUCUAAUUUGUUUGCACUGUUGUUUAGAGACUUUUGUGAUAGAUUUUUUUCUUUUACAUUUGCUGAGGAGUGUUUCACUUCCAAUUAUGUGCUCAAUUUUAGAAUAAGUGCUAAGGGUGCUGAGAAGAAUGUAUAUUCUGUUGAUUUGGGGUGGAGAGUUCUGUAGAUGUCUAAUAGAUCCAAUUGGUCCACAGCUGAGUUAAACUCCUGAAUACCCUUGUUAAUUUUCUGUCUUGUUGAUCUAUCUAAUAUUGAAAGUAGGGUUGUAGGGUCUCCCACUAUUAUUGUGUGGGAGUCUAAGUCUCUUUGUAGGUCUCUAACAAUUUGCUUUCUGAUUCUGGGUGCUUCUGUAUUGGGUGCAUAUAUGUUUAGGAUAGUUAACUUUCCUUGUUGCAUUGAUCCCUUUACCAUUAUGCAAUGCCCUUCUUUGUCUUUUUUUAAUCUUCAUUGGUUUAAAGUCUGUUUUAUCAGAGAUUAGGAUUGACUGCAACCCCUACUUUUUUUUCUUUCCAUUUGCUUGGUAAAUAUUCUUCCAUCCCUUUAUUUUGAGCCUAUGUGUGUCUUUACACGAGAUGGGUCUCCUCAAUACAGGGCAGCAAUGGGUCUUGACUCUAUCCAAUUUGUCAGUCCGUGUGUUUUAAUUAGGGCAUUUAUCCCAUUUACAUUUAAGUUGAAUUUUGUCAUAUGUGAAUUUGUUCCUGUCAUUAUGAUGCUAGCUGGUUAUUUUGAACAUUAGUUGAUGCAGUUUCUUCAUAGUGUUGAUGGUCUUUAUAUUUUGUUAUGUUUUGCAGUGGCUGGUACCAGUUUUUCCUUUCCAUAAUUUGUGCUUACAAGAGGAGCUCUUGUAAGUGCUCUGCCAUGAUAAGAAGUGUUGGCUUUCCCUUUGCCUUCCACCGUAAUUGUAAGUUUCCUGAAGCUUCCCAGUCGUGCCUCCUGUUGUGCCUGCAGAACCGUGAGUCAAUUAAGCAUUUUUACUUUAGAAACCAGCUAGUCUUGGGUAUUUUAUACUGCUAUAGGAUUAUAAAAAUGGAAUAAUAAAACAUGUACAUUUAAAGUCUCCAAGCACAGGGUUUUUUUUCUGUUAUUCUUCAUGUCACAUUUGGUUCCUAUAGGGAGGAAUAUGAAUUACAUAAUGGAUUAGUUCUAUUAUUCAAAUCUUAUACCUUUCAACAGUGGGCUUUGCAAGGGGCCAAAGAUUUUAUUUCAGUAACAAUCAGUACAACAAAAUUCUGAAUUGUGGAUCGCUGUUUUAUUGGAAACAUCUGACUCAUUGAUUUUUAUUGAAUUUAAAUCUCAUCUCAAAAUGAACUGAAGUCCUAAAUCUUCCACAUAGUAUUUAUUAACUUUUUUCCCUUUGAUAAAAUGCUUUAAUCUCCCAUUCUUAGAGCAUCUCUAAUUUCUACACUGUAUUAUAAUUACCAAUGCCUAGAUCUCACUGUUCCUGUUGGAUUGCAUUCCUUUCAAAGCAAGACAAAUGUUUGAUUCAAUUCUGACAUUCUCAAAGAUUAGCUAAGUGUCCCCUAAAAAUUUGUGUUCAAUGGAUAUUUGUUGAGUGAAUAUAUAAGAGUUGACCAAUGUAGAUAACGUAAGAUAAUGGAUGAGAAAAAGAGAUUCAGCUCUUAAUCUACUGGAGAAUUGGCUUAAUAUCAUACAUGGUGUAUGGUGGGAACUACUGAAACACACCAUAGGUAACUCAGAUGUCACUCGUCCUUUUAUUAUCAUCUUGAAACUAUCUAUCUGUGUUCUGCCUCAUUCUAGUAAGAGAAAAACAAGCAUUGGUUAGCGUAGAAUCUACUGAAGAUCUGCUAGGAAAAGCAGAGGACUGAGUUGUGUCAUAAAAGAAAUUUAAAACUUAGAAAAGUUCAUAUAGUGGCCUUUUUUGUUGUUCCUGGGUUCCUUUUGUCUUUUUUCAUCUUUCCUUCCAUAAAGCACUCAGAUUUUCCUAAAAAUAAUCUCCUGCUCUCAAAUGUUUCUCAAGUUUUACAAAUCCCUCAUCUUUAUUAUAUGUGGAAUUUGCUUCUCCUAACUUAUACAG